rnacentral:rRNA from 1 species
CCCUUAGAUGUCCUGGGCCGCACGCGCGUUACACUGAUGCAUUCAACGAGCUUAUAACCUUGGCCGAGAGGCCUGGGCAAUCUUGUUAACGUGCAUCGUGAUAGGGAUAGAUUAUUGAAAUUAUUAAUCUUGAACGAGGAAUUCCUAGUAAGCGCAAGUCAUCAACUUGCGUUGAUUACGUCCCUGCCCUUUGUACACACCGCCCGUCGCUACUACCGAUUGAAUGGUUUAGUGAGGCCUUCGGAUCCGCGACUCGUUUUGUGGAGAAGUUGGACAAACUCAGUCAUUUAGAGGAAGUAAAAGUCGUAACA